UGUGGUGACUAAUGCAGACCCUGCUAUUAAAACAAAAAUAUAUUCUCGGCCUAUCAUCAAGUCUUCAUUAGUUCUGCAAAACACCCAGAAAAUGUACUUGCUGUCUGAUAGUCAUCAGAUAAGAUGUACCCUAUAUCAUGAACAAAUUGCUCAACACUUCCUGUCACUCCCAUCUUCAGCUUCAUCUGUCAUCUUCUCACAUCUUUGGCUGCAAAAAUUCCAACUUUUUUGCCCAUAAGUUGUGGCCUGUUAGGAAUAUGGUUUAGGGUUAUUCUUGCCUGAAAAAUAUUGACACCUUUGAUCAAUGUGUUUAUUGGUGGGGUUGAUGGAGUCGUGAUAUUGAAUUGCUGGUGCCAUUCCCUGCAGCACCCACUUCACAAUGAUAAGAGACAGCAACAGGACACCUACACAGAUUGAGAACUAAUUGUUACGUCGCUGAGAUCGCGAGACGACCGCCAAUGUCAAUCUACAACGCAGUUUCUUUAUUGGAAUUGCUUGGUCCUGACACGGAGAUCCUUGAGCCAACGCCUGCUUUUGUCCAUGACAGAAGAGGGACUUCCUCCAGCGUUCUGUUCCAUCCUUAUCCUCGCGACGUCUGCUCAUCCAGUUUCACUGCUUCUUUUGCUGUUAGACUUUUCUUGCUUCAAUGGCGAGUUAGCUCACUUCAGCGUUCGCUUUCGUUCGCUGUGACACACCUGCAGUCACUGACCACGGGAUUAUGCCCAGGCAAUGCAGAGGAGACGUCGAGAAGAUGGAUUUUCUCAUCUUUAAAAAUCGUCACUGGUCUCCGUCGGAUGUUGCCCCUGCUCCUGGUGCGAACGAAACUCGGUGGAGUGAAUGGAUAAUGCGCCAACAAAAUACUUCUGGAAAUGGACAAUCGCUGGCAGUGGAAAGGGACAACCGUGGCCGGCACCGAGACUCGUCAUCAACGUGGAUCAUCGUGACCGGCACUCAGACUCGU